rnacentral:rRNA from 1 species
CAAUAGCGUAUAUUUAAGUUGUUGCAGUUAAAAAGCUCGUAGUUGGAUUUCGGGUGGGACGCAGCGGUCUCGCAUUGCGUUUGUACUGCUGCAGCCCUCCUUCUUGCCGGGGGCGGCCUCUCGGACUUCACUGUCUGGGGGUCAGAAUCGGCGAUGUUACUUUGAGUAAAUUAGAGUGUUCAAAGCAAGCUUACGCUCUGAAUAUAAUAGCAUGGGAUAACACGACAGGACUCUGGCCUAUCGUGUUGGUCUAUAGGACCAGAGUAAUGAUUAAGAGGGACAGUCGGGGGCAUGCGUAUUCCGUUGUCAGAGGUGAAAUUCUUGGAUUUACGGAAGACGAACAUCUGCGAAAGCAUUUGCCAAGGAUGUUUUCAUUGA